rnacentral:rRNA from 1 species
UACGUAGGGUCCGAGCGUUGUCCGGAGUUACUGGGCGUAAAGCGCGUGCAGGUGGUCCAUUAAGCCCGGCGUGAAAGCCCCCGGCUCAACCGGGGAGGGUCGUCGGGGACUGGUGGACUUGAGGGCGGCAGGGGCUGGUGGAAUCCCCGGUGUAGUGGUGAAAUGCGUAGAGAUCGGGGGGAACACCCGUGGCGAAGGCGGCCAGCUGGGCCGACCCUGACACUGAGGCGCGAAGGCGUGGGGAGCGAACGGG